UACAUGGGGUGCAACGUUGCUCGGAAUUAUUGGGCGUAAAGCGCACGUAGGCGGUUCGUUAAGUCGGAUGUGAAAGCCCUCGGCUCAACUGAGGAAGUGCACCCGAAACUGGCGAGCUUGAGUACGAAAGAGGAUCGCGGAAUUCCCGGUGUAGAGGUGAAAAUUCGUAGAUAUCGGAGGAACACCGGUGGCGAAGGCGGCGAAUCUGGGUCGAUACUGACGCUGAGGUGCGGAAAGCGUGGGACAACAGGGAUUAAGAAACCCCAGUACG
rnacentral:rRNA from 1 species